rnacentral:pre_miRNA from 1 species
AAUAGGAGAAUGACAAAUCAUAUUUUUCCUUCUGAUUUUCAACUUUUUUCUCAUGAAAAAAUUUAAAUCCAACUAAAACUGCUAAAAAUCAAGAGAAAAAAUCUAAUUUAUCAUUCUUCUAUU